GGCGCUGUGGCUUUGUUAGUCAAAGCGCCUUUCUAGUAAACAGGAGAUCCUGGGUUUGAAUCCCAGCAGUGCCU
rfam:Danio rerio chromosome 4, GRCz11 reference primary assembly.